rnacentral:rRNA from 1 species
UGCAGUCGAGCGGUAACAGAUCUAGCUUGCUAGAUGCUGACGAGCGGCGGACGGGUGAGUAACGCGUAGGAAACUGCCGAGUAGUGGGGGAUAGCCCAGAGAAAUUUGGAUUAAUACCGCAUACGCCCUACGGGGGAAAGGAGGGGAUCUUCGGACCUUUCGCUAUUCGAUGUGCCUGCGUGAGAUUAGCUUGUUGGUGAGGUAAAGGCUCACCAAGGCGACGAUCUCUAGCUGGUUUGAGAGGAUGAUCAGCCACACUGGGACUGAGACACGGCCCAGACUCCUACGGGAGGCAGCAGUGGGGAAUAUUGCACAAUGGGGGAAACCCUGAUGCAGCCAUGCCGCGUGUGUGAAGAAGGCCUUCGGGUUGUAAAGCACUUUCAGCAGUGAGGAAAGGUUGUAAGUUAAUACCUUGCAGCUAUGACGUUAACUGCAGAAGAGGGACCGGCUAACUCCGUGCCAGCAGCCGCGGUAAUACGGAGGGUCCGAGCGUUAAUCGGAAUUACUGGGCGUAAAGCGCGCGUAGGCGGCUAGGUCAGUCAGAUGUGAAAGCCCCGGGCUUAACCUGGGAAUUGCAUCUGAUACUGCUUGGCUAGAGUACAGAAGAGGGUGGUGGAAUUUCCUGUGU